UCUACGGGAGGCAGCAGUGGGGAAUAUUGCGCAAUGGGCGAAAGCCUGACGCAGCGACGCCGCGUGAGGGAUGAAGGUCUUCGGAUCGUAAACCUCUGUCAGCAGGGAAGAACGGUCACUGUGCUAAUCAGCAGUGAAUUGACGGUACCUGCAAAGGAAGCACCGGCUCACUCCGUGCCAGCAGCCGCGGUAAUACGGAGGGUGCGAGCGUUAAUCGGAAUUACUGGGCGUAAAGCGCUCGUAGGCGGUAUGUCAAGUCAAGGGUGAAAUCCCCGCGCUCAACGUGGGAACUGCCUUUGAAACGGGCAAACUGGAGUGUGGGAGAGGAUAGUGGAAUUCCAGGUGUAGGAGUGAAAUCCGUAGAUAUCUGGAGGAACAGCAGUGGCGAAGGCGACUAUCUGGCACAUAACUGACGCUGAGGAGCGAAAGCGUGGGUAGCAAACAGGAUUAGAUACCCCAGUAGUC
rnacentral:rRNA from 1 species